AUUGAACGCUGGCGGCAGACCUAACACAUGCAAGUCGAACGGUAACAGGAAGCAGCUUGCUGCUUCGCUGACGAGUGGCGGACGGGUGAGUAAUGUCUGGGAAGCUGCCUGAUGGAGGGGGAUAACUACUGGAAACGGUAGCUCAUACCGCAUAAUGUCGCAAGACCAAAGAGGGGGACCUUCGGGCCUCUUGCCAUCGGAUGUGCCCAGAUGGGAUUAGCUUGUUGGUGGGGUAACGGCUCACCAAGGCGACGAUCCCUAGCUGGUCUGAGAGGAUGACCAGCCACACUGGAACUGAGACACGGUCCAGACUCCUACGGGAGGCAGCAGUGGGGAAUAUUGCACAAUGGGCGCAAGCCUGAUGCAGCCAUGCCGCGUGUAUGAAGAAGGCCUUCGGGUUGUAAAGUACUUUCAGCGGGGAGGAAGGGAGUAAAGUUAAUACCUUUGCUCAUUGACGUUACCCGCAGAAGAAGCACCGGCUAACUCCGU
rnacentral:rRNA from 1 species